UUAUCAGAGAAUUUGAUUCUGGUUCAGGAUGAACGCUGGCGGUGUGGAUAAGGCAUGCAAGUCGAGCGGUUCGAUUUUAUCGCAAGACUAAAUCGAAUAGCGGCGAACGAGUUAGUAACACGUAGGAACUUUCCUCAAAGACGGGCAUAACUCGCCGAAAGGCGAGCUAAUUCCCGAUAGUAUGGAGGUUUAAAUCUUCAUUAAAGUCGCAAGAUACUUUGAGAGAGACCUGCGGGCUAUCAGCUAGUUGGUAGGGUAAUGGCCUACCAAGGCGAUGACGGCUAGGGGGCGUGAGAGCGCGUUCCCCAACGUAAGGGACUGAGACACGGCCCUAACUCCUACGGGAGGCAGCAGUCGAGAAUAUUUCGCAAUGGG
rnacentral:rRNA from 1 species